ensembl:lncRNA
CCCAGAGCCAUCUCUGAACAUGGAAGCCAGACAGAAACAGCUCCCACUUGACAAGUCCAGGAGAGAAUUUAGGAAAGCAGUUCUUAGUACAGCGGGACAUAGACUUGGCUGAGCUCUACAUAGUUUUCAUCCUGGAAUUGACUACUAUAUAUAGUAGAGUGUUAUUCAUGCACUUGAACUGAUUAUGUGUGUCGGACUGAAAUGUCCCAGUGGUGCCACAAAGGAAAAGAACAUGGUAAUCUUCCGUGGAUUCCGUUUUCCAGAUGCACAGCAGCAGAAGACCCACUGAGAUCAGCCACGGACUAAGGAUCUCACUACGUAGUCCAGCCUGGCCUUGAACUCAUGAUGAUCUUCCUACCUCAGCCUCCCGAGACCUGGGAUUACAUGUGUGUAUCACCACUACCAGCAUCAACCUAUGAAUAUUAAACAAAGUACUUGACUCCUGAGCUUCCACUUUGAUGAUAGUGAUUGGUUGGGAGAUGGGCAUGUGACACAAAACAGGCCAAUCAAAGCCCCUAAAACUCAGUUCUGGUUCUUUUACUGGUGCAAUUAGAAAAGUGGCUCUUUCUUCUGUAGUCGCUCCUUAGGACCCUGGAAGCAUGUAGUUGCCAGGAACUACCGGCAGAGCCUAUGAACAGAACCAACUCUGAAGAAGUUGGGCUGAUGACGGGAUUCUAGCAUUUAAUUCCUAGUUUAAUUCUUGAAUCAACCUAUGCCUGGCAUAUAGGUGUGGGCUUUUCAGUUUACCUUCCUCAACCAAUUCCCAUUUUUGCUUAAAUCAGUCUGGGCUGAAUUUCCCGACCCCUGACUCAGACACAGGCAAAGCCUGUAAAAACUUCCAUUCUUGCUGGGGAUUUAGCUCAGUGGUUUCACCGCCUGCUGCUCAAGCGCAAGGACCCGAGUUCGAUCCCGGUACCAAAAAACAAACAAAUUUCCAUUCUUGAAGGUUAUUUGUUGUUGUUGUUUUUACCCUCAUAUUCACGUUUAUGUUUUGGUGGUACUGGGGAUUGAACCCAAGGCCUUUGCAGUUAGCUACAUCCCCAAACCCCUGGCUUCUUCUUUUGAGAAAGUGUUCCACAAAGUUGCCCAGACUGGGCUCAAGCCCAGCACCCCCCUGACUCAACCCCCCAGAGUGCUGGGACUACAGGCAUGCACCACCGCACCCAGCUGCACAUUUCUUACUUAGAUCCCCUUAGGUGGAGGCAUAUAUCUUUCCAUUUAUUCUAGAAUCUCUUCCUCUCUUCUGUUGUGGGCUAUGCCUCCAUCAUCUGUACAUGUGGUGGCAUGACUGACCCUUGUAGGCCUCUGUGAUUGGAGCCCCUGCUUUGUAUUCAAGUACCAGCACAGCAAGAGGAGAGGGAAAGUCGGAGACCAGAACAAGUAUUUAUUGAUUUCCUCAGAAAGGAGAGCUGAGCACAACCUGGUCGAUCACCUCAGAGACUCAGCAUUAUGAAUUGCUCCUGCAGAGUCAUUUUUAUACAAGACGAGGUAGCCCUGUACCUGGGCGGGACUAAUCUGGGUUGUAGCUUGAAGGACAUGUUCUGCAAAGGUCUCAGCCAAGGAAGGUGCUUGUCCCGGGUAGAACCUCUGGUAGAUUGGGGUUGUACGGGGCUGGUGAAGAAACUGGCAUGAGGAACUGCCAGAAAAGGCCUGGAGAUAGUUUAGAGACCCCAAGCUACUGAUCUUGGGAGUACUUUUUACUUAAUUUCAUUAUGUAUUUCAUGAUUCGAAAGUCAAAACUAAAUAGAAGCUAGGUGCAGUAGGGCAUCCUAGCUACUCAGGAUGCUGAAGCAGGAGGAUCUCAAGUUUGAGACCAGCCUGGGCAACUUGGCAAGAACCUGUCUCAAGCUAGACAUAGUGGCAUUUGCCUAUCAUCCCAGCAUUUAGGAAGCUGAGGCAGGAGGAUCACCGAAAGUUCCAGGCCAGCUACAUGGUAGGUUCAAGGCCAGCCUGAAGUGUAUAGUAAGGCCCUAUUUAAAAUGAAAAAACAAACAAACAAAAAUAAAUAAAAGGGCUAGGGAUGUAGCUCAGUGGUAGAGCCCUUGCCUAGCAGGCUCAAGGCCCUAGAUUCAAUCCCCAGCACAGAAAAAGAAAAUUAAACACAAAAGCAAAAAACUGAAUAGAAAAGUACACACAACCAAGGAUGGGAUCUGUUUGUUUAUUCUUCCAGGGGCUUUAUGCAAAAAUAAGCAGAUGUGAAUAUAUUUCUAUCUUUCCCUUUUGUUACACAAAAGGUAAGUAGGCUUUGCUUUGAUAUAUAUGCAUUUUAUAUCUUCAAAUGUGUUCAUUCAUAGAGUGCCCUUCCUUGAAAUUCUGUGAUUAUUCCUGGUUGCUUUCUGCAUAAUAUUUCCAGUGGCUCAGAACCUUAUUUAGCAUAUUUUACCACUUCUCUGCACUGUUACCCUGGAGACACCUUGGUUUAAUGCUGGAGAAUCCUCUUUCAUCAGCGUUAGAAAAUUCAAAUCAAGGGGCUAAAAUGUGAGUCUGGCUCAAAACUAGAAAAAAGAGAAACAAACAAAUCUAGGAAAUGUAAUCUAAAUGAUAUUCACAGAGACUGUUGUGGGUGUCAGGGAGAUAGCUAUGAAAAUAGAAGAGUUAAAAGGACUCUAAACUUUUAGACCAGAUAGAGAUUAAUAUUGACAGGUACCCAGAAUAACCCAGAAAGGUAUAAUACAUGAUUUUGAAUAGAUGUCAAAUUUAGUCUUCUUGGUUAGGCAAAAAUCUCUAAUCACAAGAUUCUGUUGACCUGCAUGCUUUUAACACACAAUAUCUUCCAAUCCUUUCAACACAGAGAGGUUUAAACAGGGCUUUGAUGAAGGUUGGCAGCCUCAGUACUCAGACCUGGGAACAUGGGGCAGUUUCACUUGAGGAAUGGGAAAGAGAACAUUUUCACACCAAGUCUACACAGUGGAUGUUCUUUUUUUUUUUCUUAAAAAAAUUACAUUCCAUCUUCAAUAAAAGAGAAAUGGCUAAAAAAUGAAUUUCAGGGAAACAAUCGGUUGAAAAUGAAAGGCAAUCAGAGAUACACCUAUCAUUUCACUGCAGGGAGACUUGAUAAUUCUCUCUCUCUCUCUCUCUCUCUCUCUCUCUCUCUCUCUCUCUCUCUCUCUCUCUCUCUUUUGUUUUUUAAGGCAGGGUCUCCCUUUGUAGUUCAGGCUGGCUCUGAACUCACUAUGUAGCCCAGGCUGGUCUCGAACUCUCAGCAAUCCUCCUACCUCAGCCUCCCAAGUGUUGGGAUUACAGGCGUGCGCCACCACACCCAGCUCAACCUAUUCUCUUAAUCCUCCGGCACGGGGAUGGACCAGGCCCAGUGCUGUGCAUGUACUGACGGCCAACUGAGCAAAACCUACCUGCAGGUGUCCCCUUAAUUCUUUGGGGUAUUGUGCAAGGGUUUCUUAACUGUUCGGUAGAGAAAAACUACUUGAGUUACCACUGAGUCUUAUUUUUCUGGUCAAUUUUUAUUUUUUUGUAUUAUAAAACUACAUAUUUAACCUGCCUGGUGAAGGUUCCUCUGGAUUGGGGAGAUUCUACAUGAGUUACAUAAACACAUUUGCAUUUUUAUGGUUUCCUACAGGCCUUCAUUGAAGUAAACAACCUAAGCAUUUUCUUCUUUUAUCGUCUAAGGAAUUAGUAUUUCUUGCUCACUUCUCCUUUUGAUCUUUGAAAUUCUAAUGGGGGAGUUCAAAGAGUCAUGAGUAAAACAUUUUUGAGUCUUUAAAUAAAUAUAUCUACCAUUGGUGUUUUGCCACGCUACAAAUCCCAAGGAAUAAAUGAAAACUCAAAGCAAACAUACUCAAAGAAAAUAAGCCCUCUAAAAAUACAGUACAGUUUCUGAAAAACACAGCCUUAAUAAUUAAAGAUUAAAGUUUCAUCUUUCUGAUGCUGAAAAUGUAAUAUUUUGUUUGUUGUACAGAUGAUGUUGUAAAUGCAUUUGUUUGUUGUAAAUACUAGGAUUUUAGGAAACAGUGAUUGGACAUACACAGUUUUUCAUUUAAAUAGAUGCUUUAUGCUAUUGCCAAAUUUCAAUAAUUUUAUUCUGUGUGCAAUAAAGCAAUCAAAGAACAUACAUUUUGGAGUUAAUGCUUUUAUUCUAGCAAAACACAUUUUCUGAGGGCUAAUUCAGCAUUAAACUUAUUCCAAUCAUAAAUCCGUAGACACAAAAUGUGAUUUAGCUAAUAGGUUUACACUUGUAAAAUAAAUGAAGAUUCAAUUAAAAGCCACUAGGUUAUGCCUAAGCAUCAGUUAAUUUUUGCCUCAGGGCAUACACUAUUUCUAUAUUAAGUAGUCUAAUAGAAGGCACUUUUACUUUCAAGGUUUUAUUUCUUUACUCACACACCAUGUGUGAAAAAUCCAUUCUUGGCACAACCCAUUAUUCAAUGGGACUUGAUUACUUACAUAUGCUUCUGACGGUUACAAAACCUGCAUUGUGUGGUAUGGAGUGGAUUAGGUUGUAGACUGCAAACAACAGGAAAAGAAGUUGGCUCACGACUUGAAUAGAUCGGCAUAUGUAACCGGAGAACAACAGAGAUUCUCCUUGUCUGUGGCUUUUUUAGAAUGUAGUAAACAUCGCUUCUCGGCCUUUUGGCUAAGAGCAAGUGUAGAAUGUAGUAAACAACUGUCAUUCAGGGAUGGGUCACCAACCAAAAAUGGUAACAAAACAAAAAAUCUUAAGGAAGCUAUGUAGAAGAGAAACUAGUAUAUUAGAUGCGUAACCCAAAGAGAAAAAUACAGAAGAUGAUGAAAUCCGCAAGAACAUUUGGAAAACAGGGCCAGGGAUUUAGCUCAGUGGUUUUGCCUCCUGCUGCGCAAGCGCAAGAACAUUUGGAAAUCAAGAAAUCCGACUUUAGCAGGGGCAGUGGCACAUGCCUGCAAUCCCAGCACUCUGGGAGGCUGAGGCAGGAGGUCCACAGGUCCAAGCCCAGGCUGGACAACUUAGCAACUCAUUGAGACCCUGUCUCAAAAUAAAAUAGAAUUGGGGAUGUAGCUCAGAGAAAAAGCCCUGGGUUUAAUACCCAGUAUGUAACUCUCUCUCUCUCUCUCUCUCUCUCUCUCUCUGGAAAAGAAAUCUGACUUCAUGUAUACUUAUCUAAUACUUCAGAGCUUUGAUUCUAUUAUGAUGCAGACCUAAAGAUCAGUGGAUUCAAAAACAAGAACAACUGCAUUUACAAUUUUGUUUUUCUUCCCUCCUCACAGCUAACUCCACAGUUACUGAGUUUCCACUUUGUAAUUCUUUGCUCAUCAAAGAUCAUUCUUGGCUCAUCAAGGACAUUUGAUUCACUCUCACUCAUUACUAAUUUAAUUGACAAUGAUGCUGUUAUAAAUAUCAAAUUAUUCUUCAUGGAAUUAUCUGCUUUCCAAUGACUAAAUGUCACCAUUAAGUUUUAAAUCCACUUCCUUUAUAAAAAUGCCUUUAUGGAAUGAGUCACUUUUCUUUCAGUGUCUCUCAGAACUCUUAUCAGUCAUGAUUUUUAAAAAUAGUAUCAGUACAGAUCUUUUAAGUGUAAAAUUAUUUUAUUGGGUGUUUGAGUCUGAUCCAUCAUGCCCUUGAUCAGGGCUGUUAUUGCUGGUCCUGAGGCUUUAUUUACAAAGUAGUCAAUGAGGGAUUAAAUUUAAUUUAGAGCCAGUUUCUAAUCACUGAUUAUCAUAGUAAUAUAUUUUCUGCUAUGUGCAGUACUUCUAUAUAUUUCCAGAAUGCCAUAGUUUUGCUAUCUACUUUGUAGAAUUUACAACUCUUUUGGUUAUCCGAGGAGUAUUUUUUUAAGCUUUAAAUCAAGAUUAAAUCAGGGCCAGGCAUGGUGGCACAUGCCUGUAAUCCCAGCACUUGGGAGGCUGAGACAGAAAGAUCACUGAGAGUUCGAGGCCAGCCUGGGCUACAUAGUGAGUUCAAGGCCAGCCUGAACUGCAUAGUGAGACCCUGUCUCAAAAAAACAAAUAAUCAUAAUAAUAAGGGCAGGGGAUUUAGCUCAGUGGUUCUGCCUCCUGCCUCGCAAGCAGAAGGACCCAAGUUCGAUCCCCAGUACCAAAAAGAAAAAAUAAUAAUAAAUAAAAAUUACAACAUUCAAAAAGGCAACUCAGUACUGGUUUGUUGAAGAAUUUAGGCUGGCUUAAACAACACAGUGAGAUCCUGUCUCAAAAUAAAAGAUCAAAUCACUUGCCAAGCAUGGUGACUCAAUGCAUGUAAUCCCAGCACUCAUGAAGCUGAGACAGGAGGAUUGCCAUGAAUUCGAGGCUCAACAAACAAAAAUCAAAUCACUUACAUUUAAAAAAAAUACAUUUAUUUUUAAACAAAUAUGUACAUUAUGCCCUCUGGAAAGAGAAGGAAUCACUCAACUAAAUUCAAGGAGAUGUGGCAAUUUCUUUGUCUGCUUUUUUAAUGUUGCUUGCAUAGCUUACUUUAAAAAAAAAAAAAAAAGAGGAAAAGGAAAUAUCCAGAAAGGAGCAUUGAGGGAAGAAAGAAAUUCCUGUGAUGUCAAGCUCAUAUUCACGAAUUCUAACAAUCUAACUCAGUGCAUGUGCUGUCUGGUUCAAGUAGCUACAGGUCCCAGAGGAGUAGUAAGUGUACCUGUCACCUCUGGAGAACCCUUGCUACAUGUCACCCACUUCUUCUUCCUGUCCCUACCACUCAAUAAGUGACUUCUGUUUCACAUUAUCUGGAGUGUCUGGGGCCAACUUACAUAAAACAUCGUGGUUCGUAAUGAGAAACAUUUCAAACAUUUUGCCUUCCUAGUUAGCUUCCAGUGAGCAGCCAUGUCUGAAGAGCUGCUAUUUAAAGAGCUCUGUUUUCUUUACAGCCAGUUCUUAACCCUGGGACUAAAGCAUGUUUGGUUAAGGAUACUAAAUUGAGGGCUGGGGAUGUAGCUCAGUGGUUCUGCCACCUGCCUCACAAGUGCAAGGUCCUGAGUUCGAUCCCCAGUACCAAAAAAAAAAAAAUGCAAGAAUACUAAGUUGAGACAGGCUCCUUCAUUUACAAAAAAAGAAAAAAAGAGAGAGUGCAGAACAAGUUCUGCAAUGUUUUUUUAAUAAUUCAAACUGAAAGCAAAUGAAUGUUUCAUUUCUUUAGCCAACCAUGUGUUUCAUUUUAUUUAUUUUUCAAGUUAAUGCCAAGAAAAGUCAGUUCUUUACACAAACUGUUUGGAUGGAGUUCUUAGGAGUAAAGGAAAAUGGAUUAAAUAUUUGUUUUAAGGACAAUGAUAUUAUAGACUCAAGAAGAACAGAGGGCAGAGGAGAAUGGCAAAAUUUAAUCACUCAAACUUGAGGGAAGUAGCCUUGGUUUGAGAUAUUUGUACAGAGAGCUUUAGUAACAUUUACCUUUUAUACUUUCCUUCCCUGCCAACCCCUCAUCCCUCCCAUACCAGCAAUUGAACUCAGAACCUUGAGCUUGCCAGGCAGGCGAGGCACCACUGGGCUAAAUCCUCGACCUGAUACUUUCCUUCUUUGAAACCUGGUACUCUCAAAUCCAACUACUGUGUGUUGGGGGUGCUGGUGUUCAAACUCAGGCCCUCAAGUACACUAAGCAGGUGCUCUACCACUAAGCCAUGCCAGCCUCCAUUUAUUUUUGUCCUCAGCCUUGCACAACUAGGUAUUAAUGUCCCUCUGUAACCUUCCCUCCACUUUCUGGAAUACAUGGCUUCCUAGCUCUUCUGUUGUCUCCUCAUUUUAACCUCUUUUGCUCUUUCUUGCCCUUUGUCCUGAAGAGUACUGUUUAUUUGCUAAGCAGUGUUUACAGGGUGUCUCCAACGUCCCAAGCACACACAUUUGGGGUGGGGGGAGCACAGUACCAGGAACUAAAUCUGACCUACAUCUCCAGUGCUUUUUUAUUUUUUAUUUUGAGUCAAGGUUUUGCUAAGUUCCCCAUUGUUUGAUUUUGAGAUUCUCCUGCCUCAGCCUCCCAGAGCGUCAAGAUUACAGGCAUGCGCCACCACACCCAGCUCCAAGCACACUUCUUAGGACAGUCUCAGGCCUUUCUUUUCAUCUGCCCACUGUGGGCAGCCACUGUACUUACUGUCCGGUCCUGUUAGUUCUUAAUUCCUCUUGUCCUAUCCAGUCCCUCCUCAAAGGAUAAAGCAAGGAAUUCAUAACCAAUGAGAACAAACAAGAAAACCAGCCAAAGAAAAUGCUGUGUUUCUUUUCCCUUUCUUGCGUUUAGGAGGAAACUCAUGAUAUAUCUCCACAUCUGUGUUAUCUCACUUGGUUUAUAGAGUUUGUGAGAGAAAGAGAUUUGAUUUGUGGCUCUGCUUGUAUUGUCUGGGUGAUCUUGGACAAGUUACUUAACCAGAUGCCUUAACCAGAAAUCCUUUCUGGAGCGAGGCAGUAGUGUAAAUAAAUAAAGGACCUUGCCCAGGCUUCAUUUCCUAAUUAUAGAGGAAACAUAGCAUAAAGAUUGAAAGCACAGGCUCUAGACUUAAACAUACUUGGGUAAGAGUCCUGGACUUUCCACUGACUUGAUAUGUGGCCUCAGUUUCCUCAUUUGUGAAACAGAACCAUUAAUAUCAACUUCGUAAGAUUUGAAUGCGAUAAUGUAUAGAAUGAAAGCAUGCACAUGCUCGUGCAUGUGUGUGUGUGUGUGUGUGUGUGUUUUACUGGGGAUUGAACUCAGGUUUUCCUAUUUGUUCACAAUGAGCUACAUCCCCAGCCCUUUUUUCAUUUUGAGACAGGAUCUUCCUAAAUUGCUAAGUUGCCCAAGCUGGGCUUGAACUUGUGAUCCUCCUGCUGCAGCUUCCCAAAGUGCUGAGGUUACAGGCGUAUGCCACUACAGCACACUUAUUAUUAUUGCUGCAUAACAAAUUACUCUAAAACUUGGGGUUAUGACAUAACAACUAUUUUAUUUGCUUGUGAUUUCAUGUGCCAGGAAAUUGGAAAGUGCUCUGAUGGAUAGUGUUCUCUUGGGAUUUCUCAGGUGCCUGCAAUCAGACCUUGGCCGGGCUGCCGCUGCGUGAAGCUGUGGUGGGCUCACUCACAACAGGUGACUGGGAGCCCGAAGGUGACCCCCAGUUGUCACACACCUCUCAUGUGGUGCUGACUUUCCGCAGCGGAAGUGCCCAAGAGAAUGAGAGGGAAGCUGCAGAAGCCCCACACCAUCACUUCCCGUGGUCCAUGGGGACAGCAGUCACAGGUUAUCACUGUGUAGCCCAGGAUGACAUCGAACUCCCAGCGAUCCUCCUGCCCCAGCCCCCAGUGCUGGGAUUACAGCUUGCAGCUGAGGCUCAACCCUGCCUGUGACUGCAGCCCUCCUUUUCUCUGCUGCGCUCUGGAGACCCACGUACAACACUGGAAAGUCAGAACCCCCGAGAGAAGAGGUCUUUCCAUGCUCUCCCAGCAACCCCAUCUCCUAUGUCCUGCCUGGGACUAGGCCCACAGCUGCUAGGUCAGCGAUUCUCAGCUUUGUUGGAAAUCUCACAUCCCUCUGAGGUUGGACGGGAGGUGUGGACGCUCUCCCCCCAAAAAGAAGCAUCUGGCUCUUCACAUAAAUAAGUAUUUGCUCAAAAUGUCAUGGUGUUUUCAGGCUCUCCUAGACAAGCAAUCUGGAUUCUCCUCUUUCAUUUCCUGCUACUUCUUACUCAAGAACCUUCAGUGGCUCUCCACUAUCAAUAAAAGGUAUUCCUUAACCCAGUGCUUAAGCGUGCGUGACCUGACUGCCACCUGUCUGUAAAUGAAAGGGACAACACAUGCAAAGCAUAGUACUUGGUGCCUGUGAACACUGAGGGAGUGUCCGCUAUUGUUAUUGCCACUGUCCUUUGCUUCUAUCUACUGAAUUUCUCCCUCAUCCCCAUGUUCUUUCUUGAGUUUUGCUUCUGCUCUUUUUAUCCUCUUUGACAGCCAUGCACUCCUAGUGUCCCCAGGUCUUCUACUUCUCAGAUCACAGCUUCCUUAGCUCAGUCCCAACCAUUUGGGAUGUUCAGCAUCAUCCCCAAUACUUUGGAGCCCCCCCCCAGGGCUGCUCGACCUUCUCCCAGAUGGGGUUUGUCACCUCCAGCCCUGGCCCUCAUCUUGGCCUUUGCUCUACAGGCUCUGGCGAUCCUCAGCUCUGGUCACUCCGCACACUCAUCUUAGCAGAGCCCAGCGGCAGUGGGCAGGGGGUCAGCUCCCGCUGUUUGUCUAAUCAGAACCUCUUCAGAGCUCCCCAGAAAACCUAGGAUAAAACCCAAAUCCCUCCCUGAGUCAAUGAAGUCAGGCAGGACUCUCAUACCCAGAGGCAGAUUUAGGUUUUGUGAGGUCUGAAAUUUACCAAAUUUAUGGGGUAGGGGAGCUUCUUUUAAGGAAAAACAUAAAAUCAGAAAUAAAUCAUUAAAUUGGAAAAUAAUAUUUAUGUAAAAUCCAAGAAACCAUAACAACUUUCAAAUUUAUAAAAGUUCACUAGGGCCAGGAGUGGUGGUGCACACCUGUAAUCCCAGCCCUUAGGAGGCUGAGGCAAGUUCAAGGCCAGCCUGAGCUCCAUAGUGAGACCCUGGCUCAAAAAAAAAAACAACAAAGUUCACAAGAGAUACUACCAAACUGGAAAAAUAACAGAAUAUAUUUUUUUAUGAAUUAACUGCUUAACACAAUUAUACUUUUGUUUGACAUUUUGCCUUUACAGUCUUUGUCUCUUCAUAUGACAAUUUAAAAUAUCAUUAAAAUUAAUCUGUUCUUUACUAUGGUUGCUCUAAAUUUGUUUUUGGUGAUAACUUACAAGAGUUUCUUCCUGCUUCCCAAGUCAUUAUUAUGUAAAAUUUUAGGACCUUCACACUCACAAGGCUGAGGCAGGAGGAUUGCUGUGAGUUUGAGGCCAGCCUGGGCUACAAAGCAAGACCCUGUCUGAAAAAAAUUUUUGUUAUGUUAAAAUCCUAACCCCCAGGGCCUGGGAUUUAGCUCAGUGGCUGCCUGCCUCACAAGUACAAGGUCCUGAGUUUGAUCCUCGGUACUGCCCCACACCCAAAAAAUACUAACCCUCAAUGUGAUGGUAUUAGGUGGGGCCUGUGGAAGGUAAUUAGGCCAGGAGGGUAGACCCCGUAUGAAAGGGAUUAGUCCUCUUAUAAAAGAGACCCAAAAAAGCUCUCCAGCCCCCCUUCCACCAUGUGAGGACACAGUGGGAAGGCAGCGGUCUGCAGUCUUGAGGAGGCCCCUCACCAGACCCAACUUUGCUGAUCUGAUCCUAGACUUCCAGCCUCCCUCACCACGAGAGAGGAAUUCCAUAGCAUUUCACAGAGUAGCUGGAACUAAGACAGGCACUACCUAGAGGUCACUCGGAACCAGGGCUAGCCCUGUCCAUCUCCGGGACACUAGUUCCCAGUGCCGGGGACAGCACUGCUGAGCCACAGCACCGCUCUCCAGGAGGUGUUAGGUUCUGGCUUUAUUGUGGCUUCUUCCUUGAAAGUUAAACAUGUGUUAUCUCAUUUAAUCUUUACCUCCCUCUGACAUCAGCUUUGUCAAAACUGAUGUCUCGAGAGAUUAAGGGCUGCCCCUAGGACUGGCCACUGGUAAAGAAUAUCCAGAAUUUCCGGGCCUGUGGGAGCCUCAGAGGCUCAGUUUGGUUCUUGCUGUCUGCUGACUCCCUGAAGAAGCAUAACCCAGCGCACGAACAGGCUUGAAAAGACCCAGAGCACCAUGCUAGGUGCUGCUGACAGGAAGGGUGCACUGGGUCUUUUAAAAAGUUGCUGACAGACCCCUUUCAUUAGCGAGAUCAGUGUGACAGUCCACAAACACACCAGAAGAGGCAGAGGAGGCAAAGAAAGCUAAUGGCCACCCUAACUCAGGAGUGACUCCUGUUUCCUGUGACACAGCGGGACUCACAGGAUCAGGCUCCCACGGGUGUUUUUCUCUGACUAAAAAGUACAGAUGAGUCAGAUACUGUCAUUGCUGGGGGAGAUAAGUAGGUAGGGACAUCUGUCUUUGUAAACAGCUCCCCUGCUGUGACAAGGAAGGUUGUGACCCAGGGCCUGGCACGUAGGGAGCUCUGGGGACACGGGGUGUGUGUGUGUGUGUGUGUGUGUGUGUGUGUGUGUGUGCGCGCGCGUGCUGAAGGUCAGCCACUGUUCUCUCAGUAGCACGGCUGGAUCAGCAACUGUGCAUUGAUACC